GUGAGGAACGAAGGACCCUCAAGGUGCAGGCGCAAGGCCUGAGGGGUCAGCGAAGGCGGGUCCCUUCAGCAGGUGCUGGUUCCCGCCCCGCCUGGGUCCCCAAUUUGGGGCCUUGGUUUUGUUUCCUCCUCCUGCAUCUUUCCCGGACCCGCGCCCUGUGGAAACAUUCUCUUCCUCCUUUGUGCCCCGUCUGGGCCACAUCUGGCAGGAGGCGCCCCGGAAGUUGACACAUCAUCUUUAGGUACAAAGGAGUCAGAUUUCAGGAAGAUCCAUUCAAAUUAUUUGUUUGGCAUUUAAAGGAAUUUCAAGUUUUUAAACGAAAGCUCGAAUAUUUAAAGGUUCUCUGCUCAUGAAGCAAGUGAGAUGGUCCAUGACUUUUGGAGGGAGCAGCAGGGCCUCCAGAUCCCUGGGCUCAGAGAAGAGGAGCCAUCUUGGAACUGGAUUCUGUGUCUAAGUUCCCCAUUGUUUGACUGAUCUUGGGCACCUGGAUUUACUCUGCUCUUAACUGCUCUGUGGACUUCUGGAAGCUCCUGUUCCUGUCUUGGACUCACAUACAACUCCCAGUUAUGAUUCA